ensembl:lncRNA novel transcript
GAGGCUGUCCAAAGCUCCUGGUUCAGCGAAUGAUGGAAGUGAAUGUCUCCCUGAGGAAUUCUACCUGGAGUCACUUUCUCUUCCAGUGAGACCCUGAGUUUUGAGAUGGUGAAAUAAUUCGAACGUCUCCCUGGUGUUCCUUCUCCCUAACCCAUCUAUUUCAAGACAUAGACACAAAUCUUGACGAACACUUCAGCCCUGCCUCCAGAAUGAAAGGGGGAAACCUAGACCUGAAUGGGCUUGACCAUCUCACAGCUGCUCACGUGAUGACCAUAUUCGUGGCAGGUAAAAAGAUUGCUGUAUCAACUCAAGAAAGCAGUAGCCUCACUGUCUUUGUAUUUUGAAUUGCAACAACAACUUUGAUAUCAACAAUGAAGCAAUGGUAUCUAAGAACAAAAGAGCAUUUGCCAAAAGUCAUCAUAAUAUCAAGUGAUUGUAUAAGCAGAAACAAGCUGUCACAGACCUGUGUGUCAGCUAACAUAAGGAGAAUGCUUUCUUCUGAUGCUAUUUAUUUACAGGCAGUUUUAAUAUAUAUCACUUCAAUUAUAUCUACAUCAAAUAAAAUAAAAAAUUAGUGAAGCCCCCAGAUUCUUCAUUGGACCAGAAGACACAGAAAUAAAUCCUGGAAAUUAUCAACAUUUCUUCCACCAUGCAGAUGAAGAUGAUGAGGAGGAAGAUGAUUCUCCACCAGAAAGGCAGAUUGUGGUUGGAAUAUGUUCCAUGGCAAAGAAAUCCAAAUCCAAACCAAUGAAGGAAAUUCUUGAAUGGGUCUCCUUAUUUAAAUAUAUCACAGUAGUGGUAUUUGAAGAGGAGGUUAUUUUGAGGGAACCAGUGGAAAACUGGCCUUUAUGUGAUUGUCUUUUUUCUUUGCACUCUAAAGGAUUUCCACUGGACAAAGUGGUUGCCUAUGCAAAACUCAGGAAUCCAUUUGUAAUCAAUGACUUGAAUAUGCAGUAUCUCAUACAAGAUUGGAGAGAGGUAUAUAGUAUUCUUCAAGCUGAAGUUAUUUUACUUCCUUGUUAUGCAAUUUUGAACCGUGACCCAAAUAAUCCCAAAGAAUGUAAUCUGAUUGAAGGGGAAGAUCAUGUAGAAGUAAAUGAGGAAGUUUUUCAAAAGCCAUUUGUAGAAAAGCCAGUCAGUGCAGAAGAUCACAAUGUUUACAUUUAUUACCCAACUUCUGCUGGCAGUGGAAGUCAAAGACUCUUUAGAAAGAUUGGCAGUAGAAGUAGUGCUUAUUCUCCACAAAGCAAUGUACAAAAAUCAAGCUCAUAUACACAUGAAGAGUUUAUGCCCGGAGACGAUACUAAUGUUAAGAGAUUCCUCAUGUUUUGCACCACCAACAUCUUUGGCAGUCUGAAGCCUAUGGACUCUUUCUUAACAAAAGUGUUCUUAAAUGCUUUAAACAUGUAAGAUUAUGAUGGAGACAAAUUUUAUUCAAAUAUAAUAAAAUAUUUAAAAAUAAAAAAGUAAUAGACACAAA